AAUCUUUGUACUUUCAAUUUUCAUACUAUAAUAAUUGUAACGACCUGAGCCCACACACCAGCCCAAAAUGCUUAAGCAAAUCUCUUAUAUAUUCAAUCAUAUUCUUAUUCCUAUCCGAUGUGAGAUUAUUGGGGUGUGACAGACUUCCCCCGUUAAGGCCCCGACGUCCUCAUCAGUCCAAUCACAUACAUAGCCCAAGAUUACCAGGCGAUAUACUACCCAAGAUCACCAGGCGAUGACUAUCACAAACUUAUAAGCAGAUCCUUGUACUUUCAAUUUUCAUACUAUAAUUGUAACGACCUGGGCUCAACACCGGCCCAAAAUGUUUUAGCCCAAUUAUUAUUACUAGUGCCUAAUAAAUCUCUUAUAUACUCAAUCACAUUCUCAUUCCUAUUCGAUGUGGAAUUAUUGAGGUGCAUAAAUCUCUUAUAUACCCAAUCACAUUCCCAUUCCUAUCCGAUGUGGGAUUAUAGGGGUGUGACAGACUACCCCCGUUAAGGCCCUAACAUCCUCGUGUCAGCCUUGUCAUUCAGACUCCAGUAUAGCUGAUCACCUUGUCUUUCUAACCUUGGCUCAGCCGAGACUCGCCACAUAUUUCUGCAGCCGAGACUCGCCACACAUUUCCGGCUAGUAAACCGGCUUUGAUACCAAAUGUAACGGACCCAAAAUGCUUAAGCUCAAUUAUUAUUACUAAUUUCUAAGUCUCUUAUAUACCCAAUCUUAUCCCCAUUCCUAUUCGAUGUGGGAUUACUAGAGUGAGACAAUAAUUUCUGAACCUCAACAAACAUUACA
rnacentral:lncRNA from 1 species